GUACAAGUGAAAAGGAGCUCCGGGUAAUUCAGGGACAAGGGAGGGAAAACCACACACGCUUAUGAUCACACUCCAGGGAUGAAAACACGGACAGGUCCAGGAAGAUCUAUAUAAAAGAAAACAAGUCAGGAAAAGACAGGAGACGAGAAUUUACAGGAAAUAGCCGGAGCUACACUGACUAGUGUCGUUCAACGAUCCAGCAGUGAGAAACACUGAGCUGUCGUCUUAAGCAGUGGCUCGAGUGACAAGAUAAUGAGCAACAGGUGAGUAAUUAUUUUCAGGGGCCCAGGCCUGAGGGGGGAACCCACAACAAGUUCAACCCCUGCAGAGAAGAGUGAGGGAGAGAGAAAGAAGAGAGAAACAACAACAACAGUGCGAUCUCAGAGGUGAAUGCCGGGGAGACACGGGAAAGCAUGACAGUUUCCGUCAAACACUGGAUUAGUUUGUCUGGCCGUUUUUCAAAGGCAGCUGGAAAACAUGGUUUUUAGAUAUGCUCUACACUAAAAGAUAGAAGAUAAAAAUAUUUCUGUACGGAAUAUAGAUUCCUAAUAACAGCAAGAUUCCUCCUUGUGAAUUCAUAAGUAAAUAUGUCCUGUUGCCUUUGUAACAUGUUUUGGAGCAUUUGUGGACUGUUGGAGUGAAAAACAGUGACUGUCCUGAAGGAGUGUGACUGCUCAUCUGUCUUGUCACACAAGAUCGAAAUUAUGGCCUGUGAGGUUUGUUAUAAUGCUCCAGUUUCUGUGUUACUGACAUUGUAUCAAUAGUUUUGUUUUUUUUAAUUGGAAAAAGAAUGCUGUGUAUAAUUGAAGCUAUUUCGUGUUCUUGGGCUACAUGGUGGUGUGGUGGUUAGCACUGUUGCCUCCUAGCAUGAGUUCAACUCUGCCCCACUGGGGUCUUUUUCUGUGGAGUUUGCAUGUUCUCCUCAUGUUUACGUGGGUUUUGCAUGGGUACUGUGACUUCCUCCCAAUGUCCAAAGAAAUGCAAUUUAUGGUAUCCUGACUAGGAUAAGUGGAAUAGCAUGGAUGAAGAUAACGUUGGUUGUAUCCCUUCUUUUAACUCUGGGUCAAACACACAACAUUCAUUUGAUUUGUGCUCGCGUCUCUGUCCCUCCAGUUUCCCAGCAUGCUCUGGCUGUGGUGGUGGAGGUGAAUGAGGGGGAAAGGUCUGUCCUGCUGUCCUGUCUGUACCCAGAUUAUAUACUUGAGGACAAUUCAACAGUGAUGUGGACUCGCAGUGACCUUGAUCCCAAAUCUGUCCACAUACGACGAGAAAUAGGAGACGAUCUUAGAGGACAAAACCAGCGUUACAGCAGACGCACAUCAAUGAAUCGUUACGCUUUCAUCAUUAAAGACUUCAGCCUCACUCUAAGGAAACCCACAAAGACUGACAGCGGCAACUACACCUGCUCCAUCAGUGCUGGAGGAAAAGAACGGAGACUCAGAGACAUCCAGCUGCAGGUCAAAGAACAGCAAGUGGAGGUGAAGGUGGAGAAAGGGGUACAGUCUGUCAUCCUGCCCUGCAAAACAACACCUGACCUGCCUGAGGACACCACAGUAGAGUGGACUCGCUCUGACCUCGGACUCAUCACAGUCCAUGAGUAUUCUAACAGAAAUGAUGACCUCAUGACUCAGGAUGAAGUUUACAGAGACCGAACGAAGAUGAAUGAAGACCUGCUGAGAACUGGAGACCUCAGUCUGACCCUGAAACAGCCCACAGAGAGAGACAGUGGAGGAUACAUCUGCACCAUCUACAGGGACAAAGACAUCCUGAGACAGAAAGUUGUACUGCAGGUCAAAAAACCAUUUCCAUCCUGGUUCAAAGAUCUUCUGGUUCUCCUGUUUGUCUUUGUGAUUUUUGGAGGUCUUUUAUAUUAUUUACGUCACUAUUACAUGUCAGAUUACCAGGUGGAGGUGGAUUCAGGGGUGGAGUCUGUAAAGCUGCCCUGCAAAACUAUAUUUAAAUUCCUAAAACACACUAAAGUGGAGUGGAGGGACAGAAACAACAGGAAGGUCCACGUGUAUCACAAUGGCUCUGACCAGGUUAGAGAACAGCACCGGUUUUACAGAAACCGAACAGAGAUGAAGAGGAAUUUACUGAAACCUGGAGACCUCAGUCUGACCCUGACGUAUCCCACUGAUGAUGACAACUCCACCUACACCUGCACCGUCUACAGCAGGAAGGGAAACAUACUGGCAACGAAAAAUGUGCAGCUCCAUGUCAGAGUCCCCCAGGUGGAGGUGGAUUCAGGGGAGGCAUCUGUCCUGCUGCCCUGCAAAACUACUAUAAACCUGCUUAAAGAUGCUAAAGUGGAGUGGAUGACCAAAUUCAACAGGAAGGUCCACGUGUAUGAGACCGGAUCUGACCAGCUUGAAGAUCAGGACAACUAUUACAGAAACAGAACACUGAUGAAUAAAGACCUGCUGAAAACUGGAGACCUCAGUCUGACCCUGAAAUACCCCACAGACUGGGACACAGACAUCUACACCUGCACCGUCUACAACAGGGAGGGAAAAAUAAUCCUGAUGAAACAAGUGGAGCUGAAAGUCAGAGUCUGUCAGGUGGAGGUGGAGGAGGGGGCGGAGUCUGUCGAGCUACCUUUCAAAACCACAGAAGACCUGCCUGCAGAUGCUAAAGUGGUGUGGUGGAACAAUGAUGACAGGAAGGUUCACGUGUAUAAGAACGGCUCUGAUCAGCCUGGAGAACAGCACCAGGUUUACAGAGACCGAACGAAGAUGAAGAGAAGAUCUCUGCUGAAGCCUGGAGACCUCAGUCUGACCCUGGAACAGCCCACAGAGAGAGACAGCGGGAGGUACAGCUGUAGAGUCUACGGGGAGAUCAAGAGAUACAAAAGAGUGCUGCUCAUAGUCAAAGGGAGAGUUCAGGUCCAGGAUCAAACAGGGGACAUCAGGAGCAGAAGCAGCUCCAUUGAUCCGACUCCUCUGAUGGCUGAUCAAUCAGUUUGAUCUGUGUGUUCUUUGAUUAUUGAUCAGUGAUGUCAGAGUGGAGUCAGUGUGAUGUUGUUGUUGUGUGUUUGAGACUUUUAGUGUCCAUGAAGGUCUCUGCUGCCGUAGAUCCUCUGAACUGUGACAGAGGUCUCACUCUGGAGGAAACUCUCAGCACUUUCCAGCAGCUCCUCCAUCAUGGAGGACGUUCCCUCACUGUAACAGGUGGAGGAGAGAGGAGAGGAAGCACAGGUGGAUCCUCUGAGGAAGACAUUAAUGUUAUUACAUGAGUGGAAACAUCAUAGUAAAGAUAAAUCUCCAUGUGUACGAUCUCUGAGGCUCAAAUCAGUCCAGUCAGAUCUGUUGUCCCUUCUAUGUAGGGUUGCCAACUAUCCCGUUUUAUCUAGGAUGUCCCGUAAAAUGACCAACAUAGGUUUCUGCAGUAUUCUACCUUAAAUGUCCCGUAUAAUUACCGUUACCUGGAAUGUCAUUUUCUGACUAACAGCUGGCACUCUAACAAAUACCAAAACUGAUUUGACUGCAAUUACAUCAGAAGAGUACUUGUGUGCAGUCACAUCUGUCAGUGAUGCCCAUCACACACACCAGGUGUGAGGAGUAAUACACGAUUCUUAAAAAUAACGUGCUGUUUGGUCUGCGUAACAUAACAUACUGGGUAACUGAGACCUGUACUUACAAUAUUUUCUUUGAAUAUUUUUCUUUUUUGCUUAUUUUUCAAGGUAAUGCACAUGUGAUUUCUAUCAUCAUUUACUGUAUUUUCUUUAUUGAUUUAGAUGAGGUAUUGAUUAAACUGAAUACCAUUAUUUUACUGCAUUUUGACUGUAAGAAUAUGAACAUACAGUGCAUAUUUACACUGUGCCCAGCUGGCUGUGCAUUGUGCUUCUGCCACACCAGUGUCCCUUAUUUGAUAGUUACAAAGUUGGUGACCCUACCUCUACCUCAGUGUGAUUGUUUAUAUAAGACCUGCCCCGGCGCUAUAAAUGCAAGCAAUUUAAUUAUAAUCAGGCAGGUGUACUUAUCUUAUUUUUAUAAUAAUCCCCAUUAAUGUCCCUGUUCAGUCAAGAGAAUAAAA
ensembl:lncRNA